CCAGGGAGCCCGAGCCCUUCCACUGAGCGCCUGAGGUCGUUCCGAGCACACCGGGCACCAUGGGCGCCUCACUUUCGUUCGAGGAGGAGUGGGAGCGCGAGAGCAGGACCGACUUAUGGUGGGCGCACAUCCAGGAGGUGAUGAAGAAGUGCGACUUCAGCUGGGAGCAGAUCAAGCAGCUGCACCAGAGGUUCAGGCUGCUGAGCGGGGACCAGCCCACCCUACAGCCAGAGAGCUUCGACAACGUCCUGGACUUGGAGUUCAACCCGAUCCGCUCCAGGAUCAUCCACGCCUUCUUCGACAACCGGAACCUGGGCAAAGGGACCAGCGGUCUGGCGGAGGAGAUCACCUUCCAGGACUUCCUGACCAUCAUCUCCUACUUUCGGCCGCUGCGGCCCAGUCUCAACAAAGAGGAGGCGGAGCAGAACCGUAAAGAGAAGAUGCGGUUCCUCUUCAACAUGUACGACCAGGACUGCGAUGGGAUCAUCACCCUGCAGGAGUACCGCCGGGUGGUGGAGGACCUGCUGUCGGCGAACCCGCAGGUGGACAGAGACACUGUGCGCUCCGUCGCCAGUGCCAUCGCCCAGGGCGCCUUGAAGGAGGCAUCCAGGGCGUCCGACCAGCCGCUGAUGGAGGGCCAGUUGUAUGAGGGCAUCACUUUCGAGGACUUCAUCAAGACCUGGAAGAGCCUCGAACUGGAGGUCAAGAUGCAAGUCAGCUUCCUGAACCUAGAAGCCACGGUCUUAUGCCAGUGACCUGCAGGCUGCUGCACCCUCACUGGAGAAGCUGCCCCUUGAAUCCGGCAGACCCUUGCAGCAGCUACGGGCGGGGUACGUGGGACUUGAUGGAUUUCAUCGCUCAGAAUAAAGAGAUCA